GGGGAUUUAAGGGUGAAAAGGGGGAACCAGGUCAGCCAGGUCUGGACGGGCUGGAUGCCCCGUGCCAAUUGGGCCCAGAUGGAUUACCGAUGCCUGGUUGCUGGCAGAAGUGAUCACUCUAACCUGAAACGCAUGGAGUUUGUAAAUAAUGCUUCUUUUAUGGUAUUUAUAGUUUUUUAAUGGAAGUCAAAAAGAAAAAGAAGUCUAUGUGUACAACAAAAGAGAUAAUCCCCGUAAGCUACGUCUACUCACCUCGCUGUGUGGAAACCAAUCGUUGUGUGUGUCUGCUGUCUCACAUCCACAUCACGGUGGCGCUCGGAUCCUCGGCUGACGGCAGAACUUGUCUUUAGUUUUUGCAUGGCUAAAAACUGGAGCGAUGCCAUCCGGCCAGAUCCUUUGUGGGGGAGGUGAAACGAGGAGUAAAUGGACGAAGGAUGGAUGUGGACUAGCUCCGUAACACCAAGCGCUAGGUGUUGUGUGUUGUUUUGUUUCAACAAGCUCACCACCGGUUCAUACAGCAUCGUUUGCUCAAAGACUAAAAAAAAAAAAAAGAAGCUGAGCUGAACUUUGCCUCCCCGACCGUUAAAGAAGCAUGAGUAGAAUAUUUAAAUGUGAUGUAUAUAAAUGUCACUUUUGUGGUUGCAUCAUUGCUUCAGGAAAACAAAACUCAAGA